CUGCGGAAGGAUCAUUGUCGAGACCCAAGCAAACAAGGAAUGAUCGGCAAACCUGUCAAUCAAAUGCAUCGUGUGUCGGCGGGGCGCGCGAGGCAUGGGAGCACUCGUUUGUUUCCCUCCUCGCCGCCCCCGUCGAACGGAUGUUGUCAUGCCACCGCUCCCCAUCGGGGACGGAGGAGGCGUACGGACAAACCCGGCACGGCACGUGCCAAGGACCUUCCUCGCCCACGCGGGCGAUAAUGAAAAGUUGUAUUCAAUACGACUCUCGGCAACGGAUAUCUAGGCUCUCGCAUCGAUGAAGAACGUAGCGAAAUGCGAUACUUGGUGUGAAUUGCAGAAUCCCGUGAACCAUCGAGUCUUUGAACGCAAGUUGCGCCCGAGACCUCUCGGUCGAGGGCACGCCUGCCUGGGCGUCAUGCCUCGCGUCGCUCCGUGAGCCCAGUGCAUCGGGGUACCACGGAAGCGGAGAUUGACCCACCGUGCCUCUUUCGGCGCGGCGGGUUGAAGAACGGGUUGCCGACGGGGCACAGGGACACGACGAGUGGUGGACGGAGAGUCUUCUAGCCGUGGCCGACGUCGUUCCCCUCCCUCGGCAUCUGCCCCCAUAAACGCCGAACGGGGCCUCUCGUUCGGUAAGAAAGGGACCCACGAUGGGUGGUUUAUCGUCGGCGGUGCCAUCCCCUCGCGUUGCGACCCCAGGUCAGGCGGGAAACA
rnacentral:rRNA from 1 species